UGGGGAAUAUUGCACAAUGGGCGCAAGCCUGAUGCAGCCAUGCCGCGUGUGUGAAGAAGGCCUUCGGGUUGUAAAGCACUUUCAGUCGUGAGGAAGGUAGUGUAGUUAAUAGCUGCAUUAUUUGACGUUAGCGACAGAAGAAGCACCGGCUAACUCCGUGCCAGCAGCCGCGGUAAUACGGAGGGUGCGAGCGUUAAUCGGAAUUACUGGGCGUAAAGCGCAUGCAGGUGGUUUGUUAAGUCAGAUGUGAAAGCCCGGGGCUCAACCUCGGAAUAGCAUUUGAAACUGGCAGACUAGAGUACUGUAGAGGGGGUAGAAGUUUCAGGUGUAGCGGUGAAAUGCGUAGAGAUCUGAAGGAAUACCGGUGGCGAAGGCGGCCCCC
rnacentral:rRNA from 1 species